GUGUCUUGACGAUAAGAAUUCAUUAGUCUGUCAAUUUACCAAGUAAGGUGUGUUGUUUCUGUUAAUCCCGACAGGUUCUGAUUGC